GGUCUGAUGGUCUAGUGGUAGGAUUCUCGCUUUGGGUACUUUCUUAUAAAGAAUCAUAAAUGCGAGAGGUCCCGGGUUCGAUCCCCGGUCAGACCC